GUCAGGACGAACGCUGGCGGCGUGCCUAAUACAUGCAAGUCGAGCGGACUUGUAGGAGCUUGCUCCUGCAGGUUAGCGGCGGACGGGUGAGUAACACGUGGGCAACCUACCUAUAAGACUGGGAUAACUUCGGGAAACCGGAGCUAAUACCGGAUGACAUAAAGGAACUCCUGUUCCUUUAUUGAAAGAUGGCUUCGGCUAUCACUUACAGAUGGGCCCGCGGCGCAUUAGCUAGUUGGUGAGGUAACGGCUCACCAAGGCGACGAUGCGUAGCCGACCUGAGAGGGUGAUCGGCCACACUGGGACUGAGACACGGCCCAGACUCCUACGGGAGGCAGCAGUAGGGAAUCUUCCGCAAUGGACGAAAGUCUGACGGAGCAACGCCGCGUGAACGAUGAAGGCCUUCGGGUCGUAAAGUUCUGUUGUUAGGGAAGAACAAGUGCUAGUUAAAUAAGCUGGCACCUUGACGGACCAACCA
rnacentral:rRNA from 1 species